rnacentral:rRNA from 1 species
CUGGUUGAUCCUGCCGGCGGCCACCGCUAUUGGAAUUCGAUUAAGACAUGCGAGUCGAGAGUCGCAAGGACUCGGCGGACCGCUCAGUAACACGCGGAUAACAUGCCCUUGGGUGGGGGAUAACCUCGGGAAACUGAGAAUAAUACCCCAUAGAUCUAGAAAGCUGGAAUGCUUUUAGAUCGAAAACUCCGGUGCCCAAGGAUUGGUCUGCGGCGUAUCAGGUUGUAGUGGGUGUAACGGACCCCCUAGCCUAUGACGCGUAAGGGCCUUGAGAGAGGGAGCCCUGAGAUGGACUCUGAGACAUGAGUCCAGGCCCUACGGGGCGCAGCAGUCGCGAAAACUUCACAAUGGGGGAAACCCCGAUGAGGGAAUUCCAAGUGCCAGCACAUUGUGUUGGCUGUUCUCUGGUCUAAAAAACCGGAGAAGUAAGGGCCGGGUAAGACGGGUGCCAGCCGCCGCGGUAAUACCCGCGGCCCAAGUGGUGGUCGAUAUUAUUGAGCCUAAAACGUCCGUAGCCGGUCUUGUAAAUCCUUGGGUAAAUCGACCAGCUCAACUGUUCGAAGUCCGGGGAGACUGCAAGACUUGGGAUCGGGAGAGGUGAGAGGUACUUCUGGGGUAGGGGUAAAAUCCUGUAAUCCUAGAAGGACCACCGGUGGCGAAGGCGUCUCACUAGAACGAAUCCGACGGUGAGGGACGAAGCCCUGGGGCGCAAACGGGAUUAGAUACCCCGGUAGUCCAGGGUGUAAACGCUGCGGGCUUGGUGUUGGGGGUCCUUUGAGGGCGCCCAGUGCCGGAGAGAAGUUGUUAAGCCUGCUGCUUGGGGAGUACGUCCGCAAGGAUGAAACUUAAAGGAAUUGGCGGGGGAGCACCACAACGGGUGGAGCUUGCGGUUUAAUUGGAGUCAACGCCGGG